CUCAAUUAGAGCUUAUAAAUAGAGAAAAGAAUUAGAGAAGAAGGGUUACUUAGCAAGAGAGAAACAAAGCGGCAAAAGAAAACAUAGGGUUGUGGAGAAAAGAGUUAAGGAGGCAAACCGAGAAGAAUCUAGAGAGAGAUUUUACAGUAGUAAUUCAUCAAAUUCUCCGAACUAGAGGUAAGGGGGGAGUUUUAUUCAUUGUAAGGGUUGUGUAAUCAUGUGGAUAGUGAAGGGUUGUUAAUUUUCAUUAUUUUCUUAUUCCUUUGAUGAUCUAUGAUUAAAUUCGUGUUCUUGUUUUUUGUUGCUGUUAUUAUUUGUAGAUUUUUGUUUCUAAAGUUGUGAUGUUUUCAUGUUAAAUUUGUGAUUGAAAUAUAGUGAUGUUCUGAUUUUUCUUUAAGAGAAUAAAAACCAUGACUACUCGCAAUCGGAUUCUGAUUACUUCUAAACUUUAUAUGGUUUUGAAUUGGUAAUUUUAUAAUCAAUUUAUUAAGUCAUUAAUGUUUAUAUUACCUUUGAUUUGCUGCUAUAAGUUACACUAUUAUUUAUUUUUUUGGCUUGUGAGAAAUUAUUCUUGUUAUUUUCCAUCGCUACUAACACCGUAGAUUCUAGUUCAUUCAAUUUAAUUGCCGUAACCAUUCACUGUUGAUGUACCUACUUUGAUUUAAUUUGUGGAUUACUAUUACUGUGGUCUUGUGUGGAUUAUAACUUGAGUUCCAUAAUGAAAACUACUUAGUGUGCCAUGCCAAUUUAAUAUUAAUGGUCGUGAAUUGUUCUUUAAAAAGGCUGUAGCUUGAUUUAUUUAUUUUAUUCUCUAUAUUGACAAAAGUUGAGUGAACAUAGUAUAUUUUUAUUCCUUUGAUCGAGAAACUUUGGCAAUUUUCAUAGUUUGAUUUAGAUUAUUUGUUUUAAAAGAAUUAAUUGAUCUUUCUUUUUCUUUUAUUGGAAAAGUAUUAAAUAACGAGUAAAGAUGUGUUCUAUAAGGAUGUGUUAUUUGAAGAUGUGUGAUUUAAAGAUGUGUUAUAUAAAGAUGUGCUAUUUGAAGAUGUGUGAUUUAAAGAUGUUUUAUAUAAAGAUGUGAUAUUUGACGAUGAUGCUAUUUAAAGAUGUGUAUUUGUCGAGUCAUUUAAAUAUGUGCAUUUGUUGAGUCAUUACUUGGUGUUCAUGCAUUCAUGGUCAGUCCGAUUUAAAGAUGUGUUUAAAGAUGGGGGAUAAAUCAAUAACAUAACUCUGAUAUCCAAAACCGGUACCACAUGCAUAUAGAGUCGAGUUAGAGACAUUGCAUACAUAACUGUAUGACUAUUUGAAGAUGUGUAAUUAAAAGAUGUGAUAUAUUAAGAUGUGUACCUAUUUAAAGAUGUGAUAUUCAAUGACGUGCUUCUAUAUGAUUAUGUGUGAAUGAUUUGUAUUUUAUUAAUGUCUACUUGAUAUUCUUAAAUGUUAUUGAUGCUUAUAUGUUAUUAUAAGAUGUUGAUUGAUGCCUAUUUGAUUUUUAUUAAAUGAAAUUUUAUAUCUAAAUGUGAAUGUUAUCUGACUAUGAUGCAUAUAUGUCUAAAUGUAAUUGUUGUGUUCUUUUAUCUGAAUCUAUACAUGUGUUUAUGCAUCUCUUAUGUUGAAUAUAUUCUCACCCUCUAGUGGCGGGUUGGGCGCCUGCACCCUUGUGGUGUAGAUUUGCAGGAAGAAGAUCUUAGUAGCAGUGAGUCUCGGAGGAUGGCGUUGGAGCCUUCUCCAUUUUAUGUGUCGCUUUUUGGAGUCUUUAUUGAGUCGAUGCUCUGAUCUGUGACACUAGGGAUUGGGAAUUUAUUUUAUUUUAGAUUAGGUUUUAGAAUUCUUUUGAAUUUAAUUUUGAUGUUGAUACAAAUGAUGUAAAAGUUACUUUGAUG
rnacentral:lncRNA from 1 species